rnacentral:rRNA from 1 species
GACGAACGCUGGCGGCGUGCCUAAUACAUGCAAGUCGAACGCAUUUUCUUUCACUGUCUCUUGCUACACCGAUAGAAAAUUAGUGGCGAACGGGUGAAUAACACGUUGGUAACCUGCCCAUCAGCGGAGGAUCACACUUGACAACAGGUGCUAAUACCGCAUAAUUCAAUUUACCGCCUGGUAUGUGGAUGAAAGGCGUUUUUGCUGCCGUUAUGCUUGGACCCGCGGUGCAUUGGCUAGUUGGUGGGGUCACGGCCUACCAAGGCUGCUAUGCAUCGCCGACCGGAGAGGGGGAUCGGCCACACUGGGACUGAGACACGGCCCAGACUCCUACGGGAGGCAGCAGUAGGGAAUCGUCGGCAAUGGACGCAAGUCUGACCCAGCAACGCCGCGUGAUUGAAGAAGGUUUUCGGAUCGUAAAACUCUGUCGUUAGAGAAGAACAAGGAUGAGAGUGGAAAGUUCAUCCCGUGACGGUAUCUAACCAGAAAGCCACGGCUAACUACGUG